UGCAGAAGAGGACAGUGGAACUCCAUGUGUAGCGGUGAAAUGCGUAGAUAUAUGGAAGAACACCAGUGGCGAAGGCGGCUGUCUGGUCUGUAACUGACGCUGAGAUUCGAAAGCAUGGGUAGCGAACAGGAUUAGAUACCCUGGUAGUCCAUGCCGUAAACGAUGAGUGCUAGGUGUUGGAGGGUUUCCGCCCUUCAGUGCCGCAGCUAACGCAUUAAGCACUCCGCCUGGGGAGUACGACCGCAAGGUUGAAACUCAAAGGAAUUGACGGGGGCCCGCACAAGCGGUGGAGCAUGUGGUUUAAUUCGAAGCUACGCGAAGAACCUUACCAGGUCUUGACAUACUAUGCAAACCUAAGAGAUUAGGCGUUCCCUUCGGGGACAUGGAUACAGGUGGUGCAUGGUUGUCGUCAGCUCGUGUCGUGAGAUGUUGGGUUAAGUCCCGCAACGAGCGCAACCCUUAUUACUAGUUGCCAGCAUUCAGUUGGGCACUCUAGUGAGACUGCCGGUGACAAACCGGAGGAAGGUGGGGAUGACGUCAAAUCAUCAUGCCCCUUAUGACCUGGGCUACACACGUGCUACAAUGGCGUAUACAACGAGUUGCCAACCCGCGAGGGUGAGCUAAUCUCUUAAAGUACGUCUCAGUUCGGAUUGUAGGCUGCAACUCGCCUACAUGAAGUCGGAAUCGCUAGUAAUCGCGGAUCAGCACGCCGCGGUGAAUACGUUCCCGGGUCUUGUACACACCGCCCGUCACACCAUGAGAGUUUGUAACACCCAAAGCCGGUGGGGUAACCUUCGGGAGCCAGCCGUCUAAGGUGGGACAGAUGAUUAGGGUGAAGUCGUAACAAGGUAGCCGUA
rnacentral:rRNA from 1 species